UCACCUGUCAAUACUGUCAAUAAAAAGUAGCGUUCUAUGAUAAAAAAUAUGGUGGUCGAAGUCGUUUCUCAGGAAGUGUUUUCAUAAGUUCAUUUUUUAAAUCAAUAGUAAUCAAUUGUAAAAGCUUUUACGAUGGCAGAAGCAGCUGUAGAAGACAGACCUCCACAGAAGUUUUAUUGCCAUAUGUGUAAUGUUCAAUUUCAAAAUGCAUCAGCGAAUUUCACAUGUCCCCAUUGCUCCGAUGGCUUUAUAGAAGAACUGCAGGAAACUCCAGAGGAUAAUGAAGAAAUGAUCGAUGUAGAAGACUGGGUAGACGCAGAUGUGAUGGACAACUUAAUGAAUACUCUGCCACUCAAUGUAGAGGAACGCCGACCUAGGACUAGAUCAGAUGGAGCACAACCAUGGCGAAGGUACCUAAAUCGUUCCAGGACGCUUAGACCCAGGACUCUUACAAGAAUAGCCUCAUCAAAUUUAAGGCAAAAUGUUUCAUUUGAAAAUAUAUUGCAAGAUUUCAUAGUCAAUUUGGGCGUGGGUGUAAACUUUGGCACUGCGGCCAACAUGCAGCUGUUUUUGGGAAAUCCUGGAGACUACGCCUGGGGACGUGAAGGACUGGAUGCUAUUGUCACUCAGCUUCUGAAUCAAAUGGAUACAACAGGUCCUCCCCCGGUGUCAAAAGAAAUAAUAGAUGCCCUCCCCGUAGUCGAAGUGACGGAAGAACAAGUAACUGCGAAGCUACAAUGUUCGGUGUGUUGGGAAGAUUUCCAGUUACGGGAAAACGUUCGUCAAUUGCCAUGUUUGCAUAUUUAUCAUGAACCUUGCAUCCGACCAUGGUUAGAACUGCACGGCACCUGUCCGAUUUGUAGACAGAAUUUAGGAAGUGAUGAACAAACAAAUAGCGACAAUAACCAGGAUUCUGGUGGUACUUCAAGUAAUGGAGCUAAUACUCCGUACAACGUCCUACGCAGCCUAUUCAAUUCCCAAUCUAGCAAUUCCUCAAGCAAUUCUAGCAACUCUAGUUCAAGUUCUUUCGAAAGCUCUGGCGCUAGAACCAGGUCGAGAUCACAUAGUGAUUCCACCAUGUAACCGUAACAUAGUUUAAUGAUAUUUAUAACAAAAGUGAAAUUCAGUAAUAUAGAAAAGUGCUUGCUUUAUAAAAUUAUGUAUAACAUAUACGUUGAGGUCAAACGGUGGACACUGAAUUACGAAUUGUUAACAAGAACUGAUAAACUUGUCACAAAACAAUAAAUAGAAACUGCAAAUUGUUUCCUUUAGUAUGCUACUUUUAUCUUUCUUAAUUGCAAUUGUAUUUUUUAAUGUUAUGGUCAAAAUAUGGUGGAAGUUAAUUUUGAGCUAUUUCUUACUAGCGAAGUAUUUUUUUUUAAUAAGAAUUUUGUUUUGGUCUGUUCACUCUACGUUAUGUGUUUUGUAUUUUGAUCCAGGUGACUUGUACGUUAUGAAUAUAUAUGUUUACAGAUACAGAGUUUAUUUAGAAAUCAGUAAUGAACACUAGUAUCGAUUUUGGUUCUUUCACAGAAAAUACUAACGCGGUCCGAUAAGUACUUAGCCUCAAAAAAAAAA
rnacentral:misc_RNA from 1 species